CUUCAUAUGAUUCAUUAACUAGUCAGAAAGAUAAGAGUACAAUCCCUGAUCAAAAGUCAAGGGGCAGGAUACACUGAGCUCAGAAAUUAUAACUCAUGGUCUGUGUCAGGGUACUCCAGCUACAGGCUCCAGAUGUUCCAGGGGCGUACACGAAGUGAGGUUCAAUCUGCCCAAACCAAGGUGGAAUAAGUAACUUGCAACAGUGAAGAGAAGAAGGAAGGGAAGAGCAGGAAGGGGAGGAGAGAAAAGAGAAACAUGGAAACACAUGAUGGACCAAUAUCAAGGCCAGGCCUUGGCAAGAUGACUGGUGGGUCAGAUGAGUCAUUGUUUGGCAAUCUAAGAAUUGUCAGUUGUACUUUCGUCUUUCAUAUUUUUCUGUCAAGAGGCAGCAUUUAACAGAACUGUAUAUUUUCUGCCACAUAGUGACAACAAGGAUGGUGACUGACGAGAGUUAAAUCUCUAUGGACUAUUCAUGUUAGUUAAAAUUUCAUCAGCAUCUUGGAACAUCUCCUGUCCAACAUGUCUCAGGGGAAAGAUAAGAAAUAUUAUUUUACUUCUGUUUGAUUUUAUAAGAUUAAGUCUGUUGCCCUUGGUCCGUGAUCAC
rnacentral:lncRNA from 1 species